CUCCGUGGCCGCCCAGGCGCCACAGCGGGGAGCCGCGGUCGACCCCUCCGGGAUGGGGGCCAGGGCAGCCUCCGCGGCUAUCCCGGGAGUCCUGCUCCGACACCACCUCCACAGGGGAAGCCGCUCGGAGAGACGCAGGGACCCAGGCAAGGGAUGCGGGCAAACGCGCCAAGGGUUCAGCAGAGGGGCGUGACCGCCAGUUGGCCGGGCUGAGCGAGGCGCCAGAGGGAAGCCUGCAAGGUACGUCUGCGAGAGCCGGGUGCGGGCGCGGCAGGGGAAAAGGGGGGCGCUGACUCUCUUACCGCCAGGUCCGGAUUGCGGCUGUCCCUGUGUGACACGGCUCGGAUGACCCCCGCUCGCCAGCUUCGCCAGCCGCGUCCGCUCUCCCAGCGCUCCGAACGUGCCUCGUCGCCGACCGCCACACACAGGAACCGCUUACCCACCAGCUCUGCCCGCGUCUCUACCGCCAUAGCUGUCGCUGCCGAAGCGGCCGCUGCCUCCUCCAGUGCGAGGGAACCGAUGAAACCUCACUCCUACCGGCCGCUCAUGCUGAGGAGAGCGGACCGGGACACAGCAGCGGACCCGAAAGAGCGCAGACUCGGGACGAACCGGCCGCUCUGCCCCGGACACAGCGACCUCGGGCCCUCCCCGCAAACACUCCUUUGGACUCCCAGAUUCGCAGCCUUGUGCUGCAGCGCCACACAAGAAAACUGAAACAAAACCCAACGCGGCCGUCGAAGACCCCGAGGCAGCCCAGCCGCCGCCACCGCGCCGCGGCCAGUACUGCUCCGUCUCCCUCCCCGGGCAGCGGCGGCGCGCAGCGCGUCUCCUUCCGCCGGCGCGGGCGGGGCAGCAGCCGCGGGAGGGUCGGCGGAACCACCGCAGACGGAAAGUAGUGCCCGGCCCUGCGGAGGCGGCAGCGGCCACUGGGUCCGUCCAGAUCCAGAGGCGGCGGCGGCGGCGGCAGCGGGAGACGAAAAAAUGAAGAGGGCCGCGGGAAAGUAGGCGACAGCUAUUCAAAGCUUUUGGGGGUCUACCUUUGUAUUCGUUGCUCCCUCAGAGGUGGAGGUGAGGGGAAAGUGAAGUGUAGUGGUUCCACUCUGAUCACAAAAUAAACUCCUGGGUUGACGCCUCACCCGCGGUUUGAUGUUCAGAGCACACAGCGCCCGCCGCCUGAGUUAGCCUGAAUUAGCAGUCCCGCAGUAACAGCAGCAGAGCAGGACAACACUUCUACUGAAAACUAAGCCCCAAAGUCACAGCAGAACCAACCGUUCAUGACUUCAAGGGAAAACGAGGGGGAAAAUGUGAUCCUUUCAUUCUUCUCAUUUGUGGUGAUACUAAUUACAUGUUUAAGCUAUUCACAGAUUUAAAUUCGUCACUGCUUUAUUAUAAGAACAGCAAAUGCUCCGUGGCGGGCCCUUGUCAACGUCCUGAAAUUUCACAAACCGUGUCUGCGACAGUCUUAGUACUUUUAGUACUGGUACACAGCUCAAACACACUGGUCAGAUAAUAAAAGCAGAGAAAAUCCCCAGAUUCAGUUAUUAGAAAAUACCAUGGAAAGAAAAGGAUUUUAGCCAAUCACAAUUCAAGAAAAAAAAUAUUUAUUUCCCAUCCAAUUACAAUCGGACUCCCUAACCCACACAAAGAUCUCUAACUUGGAACAAUCACUCUUCUUUGAUCAACUUAUUUGUUAUAAAUCAAACCUCCCUACAAAUGUCAGUGAGCAGUUCGAUUUCAGGCACCCUUUAUACUGCUUUUUUAUAGGUAGUCCAAUAUUCUAAAUUUCAGUUUCUUGAGAUUUUCCUGAACCUCUAUUUAAAAAAAAAAAGUUAACAGAGUUUACAGUAGUAAUCUGAAUGUUUAAAAUAACUAUAAGGCUUUUAUCUGUUUUCUCUAGAACACUCAAGCUGGGCAAUUUGAAGUGGAGAAACACAACCACUGCUAAUAGGUUAGAAACCAAAAUUAUAAGGAAGAUGGAUUUUAAUAAUCAUGGUCAAAUUUUGCCAAAGACCAAACAUAGAACUGUAAUAAAUAGGCUGGGCACGGUGCCUCACGCCUGUAAUCCCUGCACUUUAGGAGGCAGAUCACCUGAGGUCGGGAGUUCGAGACCAGCCUGGCCAACAUGAUGAAACUAAAUGUAUUUUUAGUCUCUACUAAAAAUACAAAAAAUUAGCUGGGCAUGGUGGAGCAUGCCUGUAAUCCCAGCUACUCAGGAGGCAGCAGGAGAAUCACUUGAACCUGGGAGCUGGAGGUUGCAGUGAGCCGGGAUCGUGCCACUGCACUCCAACCUGGUCAACAAGAGCAAAACUCAGUCCCCCCGAAAACAAACAAACAAACAAAAAACCUGUAAUAAAUUAAAACAGCAAAACAUACCCAAAAAUGCAUAUCGGCAAGUUGAGAGAAAAAAUUUUGCUUGGGCAAUUUUAUUUCCAAGUCCACUUUUUCAGUGUACACUGUAUAAUACUUAGCAAAUUAUCUUAAGAAUUACAGAUGAAGAUUUCUAAAAUCAGUGUAGAUUAAGGAACCAGUAAAGUGACUUGGUGACAAUAAUUCAACAUAUGUAAGGAUAAAAGAGUAGGGAGAUCAACAUCCAGAUACCAAGUCAUCAAUGAUCUGCUUUGUGACCAUGGGCAUGAUGCAAUUGUAAAAAUGCAAAAAUGCCUGAAUCCUAAUUUUCAGUGAUAUCCUAGGAGCAAACGAAAAAUACAAAUAAAGUCAUUUGAGAAAAACAUGCAAAUUCAUCAGUUAUUACAUAAAUCCCACUCACCAAAUUACAUUCUUAAGAGUAUAGGUUGCUAGUUGCCUUAUAUAAAACUGCCAGCUGUUUUCAAUUUUGUAGGCAAACUGCUCUAAAUGGGCCCCUGGGAACUCCCACUACAUGUUGAAUUCCAUCCUUUUCAGUCCUCUGAAAAGCAUGUAAUCCAACAAAUCAAUCAAAAUAUUUCAUGUAUAGAAACAAAGUUUUUCAGGAGGGCAUAUAUCCCCAAAAUAUUUUUAAUCAAGUAUCUUAAUAUUCUUAGAACUCUGGUCCAAAUUCUCUUCUACUAAUCCCUUGACUACAGCCAAUGCCUAGAGUUUACACUAAUUUGUGGAUAUUUUGCUGUUGGAAAAAUUUAAAAGUACAUUUUUUUAAAUGUAGAAUAAAAAGUCCUUAAAGAUUUUUUGUUUGUUUGCUGGCAUUUUUUGCUUCGUUUUGUAUUAAGGGGUAUUUUUAUUAUUUUAUUUUUGCCAGCAAAUCAUAACUUUGUAAAUAACAAGGAAUUUAAAAAAUUUUUCAAGUUGGUUUUGAAACUUCAGAAUAUUUGUUUCUUAACUUGUUUCCUUACAUUCUUUACUUCCAUAAAGAUACUCGGAAACAGAAGAGUAAUGGUAUUUGUUUUCAUUAUACAGGUAAAAAGAAUGACAGUGAAUUACUUAAAAUAACUAAGUUUACUUAUAGAAGCUGAAAAUUAGACAUAUAAAUUAGAUUUUCUAGUCUUUCCAUCCCCACGUGUAAAUAUGUCCAUUAAAUAUGCCUAUGCACACAUCAAUUCAAGCAAACCUCCUACAUCAAAUAUCUUAAUCUACACCAAAGACUGGGAGAUUAUUUGAUUUUUUCCCUUUUUAGAAGUUCACAAAAAUUUAUUCAUAAAAACAGCUUGGGCUGGAUGAUGGCAUGUGUCUGUUGUCCCAGCUUCUCUGGAGGCUGCAACUGGAGGAUCUCUUGAGCCCAGGACUUCUGUUCAGGCUGGGCAACAUCACAAGACCCUGUCUCUAAAAAACAUUUUUAAAAUACAAAAAAAACCCACAAACUAUUUUGUUUUUUUAAAAAACUGACUUAUAAAGGAAGAAAAUGUAUUCACUGCAAUAAGAACCAUAAUUAUCUACUUAGUUUAGUCUGAAUAAGCAAAAGCCUAGUAGUUAUAGAUUUUUCACUUUUUGACUUGGUAUGUAACUGUGGAAAGUGUCAAUCAUCUGCUCUCAUACAUACUAAUAUUUUAUGUCACUAUACAUGUCUACUUUAAAUAUCACAGAUAUUAUCUAACACAGACAAAAAGUUUAACACAUCUUUUUAGCCACCACUUAUAGAACACUUACUAUGUGUCAGACAGUAUACUAAGUACUUUACACACGUAAUCUCAUUUUGAGGAUAAAGAAAAUGAGGUUUAGAGAAGUUUAGUAACUUGCCUAAGAAUACACAUUAAGAAACUGGUUUUCAAAACCAGAUCUUGUGAUAACAAAGGCUCCCUGCUAUUAACUAUUAUACUAAAAAGUCACUUAAAAGAAACGUGAAGGUCAGUUAUCAAGUUGUUUCAUCCUUAUUUACAGUUUACUCAUAAUUGCUGUGUUCAGUAUUUAUUUAGCACUUACUAUGUGGGUCACAUCCUGCAAGGUUCUGGAGAUAGGACCUUUAUCCUUGAGAAGCUCACAGUCUAUCUGGAAAGAUAGACAAUAGAAAUGCUUUGGUUUAUUUAAUUAAGGAACUAUCAAUAGAAUUUCAUCCAAAUUUAAUGCAUUUUAACAAAUAUUUUUCAAACCUAUUAUAACUUGAAGGCUUUUAUUAAUUGUCAAAUGUAAAUAAUGGACUGCGUUUAUGAAGUCUUAGAUUAUAUAUAUAGAUAGGGCUAAGAAUCGUGCAAGCCACUAUUUAAAUGAGGGAAACCAAGAGUUUCAACUGAAUUAUGCAAGUGGAAGACCAAGAAUAAAUGGAAUAUAAAUUUAUGUUACCAUUUUUUUAUUAAACCUUAAAUAAUUUGUAUUUGGGGUUUGUAUACCCUAAGCACUUAUUUAAAAUGAAUUCCUCAAUCACAUUUAUGAUAAUGAUAAAUUAACUCAAAUAUCAAAAUAUCACUUCCUCAAGGAAACCAUCCCUGAUUCUCAGACUAUGUAGGAUUCCCCAAUAACAGAUUUUCAAAACAUGCCUUAUUUGUCUUAGUACUACCACAACUGUAUUUACACCAUUUAUUGUGUAAUUGAUCAUUUAUAUUUUUUCCCUUUAUAGGAUAUAUAAGCUCCAUAAGGCAUCUUUGUCUUGUUCAUAACUAUACUCCCAGCAGCUACCAGGCCUUGCUAAGAGAUGAUAAAACAUGUUAUAGCAUGAAUGAAUGAAUGAAUGAAUAUAGCAAAAUGUACCUUUUUCUAAAUCUAACUCAACUAAGAGGAACUUAGAAUCUCGGACAUAAAUGAGAGUUCCUGUUCUUCCUACAGGGUUAUUCAUCACCUUCAAAAUAAUGUCUUAUGUACAUUAUCUCUUUUCAUCAUGGAGGUACAAUGUUAAGCCUUCGAAAACAUGCUUCAGUAGAAAAGCAAGGUUUUUCCUGGGAAAAUUUCUAAAGAACAGAUACAGAAGGAAGAGUUACAAUUCUCAAGAAAAAACAUUCAUUUCAUUACCAAACUACCAAUUUAAUACAAACCCAAAAAUGAUCCUAUGAGUGUAUAUCCAAAACACUAGUCUAUUCUUAGUCUUCUAAAAAGAACAGUCUCAAAUAACAUCCUUGAUGGAGCCAAUAUACAAACAUAACUUUCUGACUAUCUUCUUGAUGCCAUGGAAGGAGGGAAAGAGAAGAAAAAAAGGAAGAUAGAAAAGAAAUGAAGGAGGAAGUGAAGCAAUCUCUAUUGGGCCUUCUAAUUGUACUUUCUAUCCAUCUGUUAUCCAGUUUCCAGUUUAAAUUCUGGCUGCACAGGAAUGUACCACUUCUUUUCAACAUUCUCUUCUCUAUUAAAAACAAGGUUGAUUUUUAAUGAUAAAAAAUUAAAAAUUUAGAAAGAAUACACAAAGCAUCAGAAAAUUCCUAAUCUGCUGAGUGAGGAACUACAAGAAAUAAAGAAAUGGAAAGUUGCCAUUGAGCACACAGUAAGAGUCUUGCCAGCGUGUCCCACUGCACUUUUUCUCUGUUCAUCAUCCCUAUCAUAAACGCUCCAACUAUUAACUACCAUUAAAAUAUGCAAGUCUGCACUUUGCAAACAGGUUAGGUUCCAAAAGGGUCGUGUUCUUAUUAAUCUUACAAGCUUUCACUAUUGUUACAAGUUAAUAGCAGCAGGGUAAAAGUCUUCUGUUUAUAUCCAUGAAAGUUCAUUAAGUAAAGGAGGUUCUAAACUUGUAUUAAAACUAUAAAUGAAGGAAAGCCAAUGUAAAAUCUAAACUAAAAAGUAAUACCAACUCAAAAUCUCUGCAUGCUAACCAUAUACUCCAUCUAUGUUCUUCCUCACCAAUGAAGCUAGGUAUUAUAUAAUGAAGGAAAUUUAUAAUCAAGAACACACGUAAUUCAGCAAGGAGCAAAGUAUGCUUUCCUGUCACGUGGUAGGUUCAAACCCCCAAAAUGUUAAAGGACUGACAAAAGUAAUCUUGCUUAGCAAAACAAAUAUUGUUAGAAAGACUUCAGCAUAUGCUAUUUCUCAAAGGUCUCAAAGAAGAUAUACAUAUGAUUAAUACUAAUAUUACUACAUACUAAUUACUAAUAUUAAUACAUACUAAUAUAAUACAAACCAAAGUACUAAAUAACAGUUUUUAAACAUCAUUGUAAAACUGCUUCUUUCCUCUGCUUUCCAAGUUUGGUCAUAAAACCAUUAUAUUAAAACAAAUAGGUCAGGCAUGGUAGCUCUCACCUGUAAUCCCAGCACACUGGGAGGCUGAGUGGGGCGGAUCACCUGAGGUCGGGAAUUUGAGAUCAGCCUGACCAAUACAGUAAAAUGCCUUCUCUACUAAAAAUACAAAAAUUAGCUGGGCAUGGUGGCACAUGGCUGUAGUGCCAACUACUCGGGAGGCUAAGGGAGGGGAAUCACUUGAACGCGGGAAGCAAGAGACUUCAGUGGGCUGAGAUUGCACCACUGCACUGAAGCCUGGGCGACAGAGUGAGACUCAGUCUCAAAACAAACAAACAAACAAACAAACAGUCUAUCAAAACUAACUUGAAAUGGAAGAAUUUUUGCAAUGUUCUACAUUACAAAUAAACUUUUGAAUUGACACUUUUUAACCUUAUAUACCUUCUUCAUCUAUAAUAGAUAAAAAUCCUAUCUCAACUAUUAUAUAUUAUAUAUAAUAAUUUCUUAAUAAUUUCAACUAUUCUAGCUACAAAAAUUAUCUUAAAAGCAAUUGCUUCAUUUGCUUUUAUAUCUAAAUUUGCAUGGAUGCUUCUUUCCCCCACUUGCAAUUUCUUUUUUAUUUAAUUAUUUAUUUUUUUGAGUCAGAGUCUCCCUGUUGCCCAGGUUGGAGUGCAACGGCGUAAUCUCAGCUACUGCAACCUCCACCUCCUGAGUUCAAGCAAUUCUCGUGCCUCAGUCUCCCAAGUAGCUGGAAUUAAAGGCAUGUGCCACCACGCCUGGCUAAUUUUUGUAUUUUUAGUAGAGACGGGGUUUCACUGUGUUGGCCAGGCUGGUCUCUAACUCCUGACCUCAAGUGAUCCACCUGCCUCUGCCUCCCAAAGUGCUGGGAUUGCAGGCAUGAGCCACUGCGCCCCGCCCUGCAAUUUCUUUUUAUAUUCACAAGUUUUAAAAUUUCAUAUAUAGCCAAAUAUGCUAAUAUAUUUAUGUUGCAGCCUUAAGGCAUGCUUUAAAAAUACUCUAUGUAGGUAUUCUUUGGUAUUUUCUUUUAGGAAUUUUAUAAUUCAAUUUUUAUUUAUUUAUUUAUUUUUGAGAUGGAGUCUUGCUCUGUUGCCAGGCUGGAGUGCAGUGGCGCGAUCAUAGGAUCACCGCAACCGCCUUCUCUCAGGUUCAAGCAAUUCUCCUGCCUCAGCCUCCCGAGUAGGUGGGACUACAGGCGAGCGCCACCACGCCCAGCUAAUUUUUGUAUUUUUAGUAGAGACAGGGUCUCAUCAUGUUGGCCAGGAUGGUCUCGAUCUCUUGACCUCAUGAUCUGCCCUCCUCGGCCUCCCAAAGUGCUGGGAUUACGGGCGUAAGCCACUGCCCCCAGCCUAAUUCAAAUUUUAAAUCUGUUAAUGUAUCCCUUAAUUACAAAAGACCUACAGAAUAGAGAUAUAAUACUUUCUAUAAAACUAAUAAAGAUGAAAAAAACAUUAAGUAGGACAAGGAUAUGGUAAAACAAAUGCUCUGUUGUAGAAGUAAUACACAUUUGGUUAAAAAAACUUUUUUUUUUGAGACACGGUCUCACUCUGUCAUCCAGGCUGGAGUGCAGUGGCACAAUCUUGGCUCACUGCAACCUCUGCCUCGGAAGUUCAAGCAGUUCUCCUGCCUCAGCCUCCUGAGUAGCUGGGAUUACAGGCACACAGCACCACACCUGGCUAAUUUUUGCAUUUUUGAGUAGAGACGGGGUUUCACUAUGUUGGCCAGGCUAGUCUCGAACUCCUGACCUCAAGUGAUCCUCCCACCUUGGCCUCCCAAAGUGCUGGGAUUUCAGGCAUGAGCCACUGUGCCUGGCCAGGUAAAAAGAACUUCUAGGAAUUACAGGUCACUUAUUGCAUCGAAACUGGACUUGCCUUUACAUUCUUAAUGUACUUUUACUUUUCCUCAAGAUAUGAACUUAUUGUUGUAAAGCUGAAUUUUCUUUCGCUACUUAAAUCAUUUAUGUAUAUCUGGUAAAUUAUGACUAAAUUUUUGUUAAAUUGCAUAAAGUAAACUGAAAUACAUACUUGGGGCCAGGCACAGUGGCUCACACCUGUAAUUCCAGCACUUUGGGAGGCCAAGGCGGGCGGAUCACCUGAGGUCAGGAGUUUGAGACCAGCCUGGCCAACAUGGUGAAACCUCGUCUCUACUAAAAAUACAAAAAUUAGUUGGGCAUGGUGAUGGGCACCUGUAAUCCCAGCUACUCAGGAGGCUGAGACAGGAGAAUCCCUAGAUCCCGGGAGGCGAACGUUGCAGUGAGCCGAGAUUGCGCUAUUGCACUCCAGCCUAGGUGACAAGAGUGAAACUCUGUCUCAAAAAAAAGAAAAGAAAAAAAGAAAUAAAUACACACUUGGUACACUAAAAAAAAUAAUAAUAAUAAAUAAAUAAAUAAAUAAAUAACUUCUGGGAAGCAAUCUGACCAUCUUUACUGAUAACAGCCUUAAACAAAUCAUACCAUUUGACUCAGUAAUUCGACUCCUUGGAAAUCACCCUCAGUGAACAGACUAAGGAUAUAGAAAUAUGGAAAAAGUAUGUUAGAUGCUUUGGUCAACUGAUUGCUGAGUCUCUCCUCAAUCGCUAAAAUGAGUGGGAGUGUAAGAGUGCUUAUAAAGCGGGCAGCCGUGAAGAAAAGUGUUUUAGGAUGAGAGAGAUACAUACUUGAAUCCUGAAGAAAAUUUAUCAAAGGAUGGGGAUGAAAUAGAAAUAAAAACACCUUUUUUUUUUGUUUUUUUUUGAGACAGGGUCUCACUCUUGUCACCCAUGCUGGAGUGCAGUGGUACAAUCAUGGCUCACUGCAGCCUUGACCCACCUCCCGGGCUCAAGCAAUCCUCCUGCCUCAGCCUCCCAAGUAGCUGGGACCACCGGCAUGUACCACCACGUCCAGCUCAUUUUUUAUUUUUUUGUAGAGACGACGGUCUCACUAUUUUGCUAGGCUUGUCUCAAAUUCUGGCGUUACGCAAUCCUCUCACCUUAGCCUCCCAAAGUGCUGGGACUGCAGGCAUGAGCCACCGUGCUCAGCCCAAAACAAUUUGUUAAACAGAGCAAAAUAAAAUCAAAGAGAAGACUGAAGGUAAUGGGGUCAAAAGUUCCAAAUUAUGUAGUCCAGUCAGCCUACUCUCAAAUUAUUAAAAAAAAAAAAGAAUGAGUAAUAAUGUAAUACGGAAAAUGUGACAAAUUGUUAAAUGAACAAAUUACAGCAAAUCUAAUGAAUGCUGAUAGAAGUUGGAAUAGUGCUUACCCAUGGGGGUGGGUAGUAUUGACUGUGAAGUGGCAUGAAGGUGCUGGAAAUGCCCUAUAUCUUCAUCAUAUAGUGAUGGUUAAGCGAGUAUAAAAUGUAAAGAUAAAUCAUGAAAAUUUGCAGAUGUUCAUGAUUCUAAACAUAAUUAUCCUUUCCUUUACAGUUAUAAUAAAUAAUUACAUCAUUAUUACUUGCAACAUAUGUAGAGUCAUUAUGUCUCUCUCAAAUGCUCAGUUCGAUUAGGACUGCAUUUAUGAACCCUGGACAGCUAAGGAUACUCCCCAUUUUACAAUUUUGUUUUAUGCUUUUAAAAAAAUAAUCCAUCUGAAUACAUACUUCCUAGAGGGAAUAGAAAUAGCCUUCAAUUUGGUCUACAUUAUCACCACUGAAAACUAUGUUUUACUUAGUAAGGAAGAUCUAAUUCCAUGAAAAUAGUUAGCGCUACCUUAAAAAGUUCGGGUACUUGUCAAAAAUGGCUUCCAAAUAUAUUCCUUUUAAUACAGGAUGUGAAAACACUUCCUAAUAAAUUCCUGCAAAAUUAGAUGAUACUGUAUGUACUUCUGAAGGACAGACAAGAAAGUAACCUAAGACCAAAACAAUAGAGGUCUCCUACUACUGGGGAGAAGGAGGAUUAUCAAGAAUAGAGGAAAACAGAGCCUGCCUAAGACUAAUACUGGUCUAGAACAAAAGAGAAAGCUCAAUUCCUACCACCACAAAGCUAAACAGCAUCCAAGGCCCCAUGCCCACCACAACAACACAAACUAGCUCCAAGUAACACCUAAGUAAGAGCAUUCGACUACUAGAGAAGUAGCAAAAGAACAGAGAGAGACCCUCUCUGAAGUUCAGGUGCGCAGAUAAGGCUAACAGGUAAACAUGAAGUAAAAACAUUGGUCAAAACUUUGCAGCAAAUCAAUCCCCAUCUUAAGUACUAGGUGAUAAUAGAUUUAAAGUUGAUAAUGGGCUGGUAGCAGUGGCUCACACCUGUAAUCCCAGCACUUUGGGAGGCUGAAGUGGGUGGAUCAUUUAAGGUCAGGAAUUUGAGACCAGCCUGGCCAACAUGGUGAAACCCUGUAUCUACUAAAAAUACAAAAAAUUAGCCAGGCAUGGUGGCAGGUGCCUGUAAUCCCAGCUACUCGAGAGGCUGAGGCAGGAGAAUUCCUUGAGCCUGGGAGGAAGAGGUUGCAGUGAGCCGAGAUUGCACCACCGCACUCCAGCCUGGGCGACAGAAUGAGAUUUUGUCUAAAAAUAAACAAAUAU
rnacentral:lncRNA from 1 species